rnacentral:rRNA from 1 species
UAGAGUUUGAUCAUGGCUCAGAUUGAACGCUGGCGGAAUGCUUUACACAUGCAAGUCGAACGGCAGCACGGGAGCUUGCUCCUGGUGGCGAGUGGCGAACGGGUGAGUAAUGCGUCGGAACGUACCGAGUAAUGGGGGAUAACGCAGCGAAAGUUGUGCUAAUACCGCAUACGCCCUGAGGGGGAAAGUGGGGGAUCGCAAGACCUCACGUUAUUCGAGCGGCCGACGUCUGAUUAGCUAGUUGGUGGGGUAAAGGCCUACCAAGGCGACGAUCAGUAGCGGGUCUGAGAGGAUGAUCCGCCACACUGGGACUGAGACACGGCCCAGACUCCUGCGGGAGGCAGCAGUGGGGAAUUUUGGACAAUGGGGGCAACCCUGAUCCAGCCAUUCCGCGUGAGUGAAGAAGGCCUUCGGGUUGUAAAGCUCUUUCAGCUGGAACGAAACGGUACGCUCUAACAUAGCGUGCUACUGACGGUACCGGCAGAAGAAGCACCGGCUAACUACGUGCCAGCAGCCGCGGUAAUA